rnacentral:lncRNA from 1 species
CAACCAAAGAAUUUUGACAAAUAAUACCAAACUCUAAUUAGAAUCACAUCCUAAAAGAAAAAAGAAUCAGCAGAUGAAAAAGCUAGUCUAAACAAAUUUAAUGAGAGAGAAAAUGAAGCAAACUCAUUUCUAAAAAUUGUAAGGAAUUGAAAGAAAUCAUUUGAAAAGAAUAAUAAAUUCUGAGUAGGUUUUAUAAUGAAAUUUUCAUGAUCAAGUAGAUUGAAGCAAGCACCCUUGGUUUAAAAUAUCACUGUUUCAUAUGUGUAUGUCAAGGAGGUUGUAAUGGUGCUAAAUAGAACACAUAUAGUAGAAGAAGCUUGAUUAAAUUGAUUAUUCAUAGAUAAUAUCCAUGCUAUACUUGACACAAUUAUUAGUUCUUUGAAAGAUUGAGGAAAAUAUCAAAGGCUUGGAAAAAAAUGAUUCGAUCUUGUUAAUAAUGAAUAAAAGAUGACAGACCAAGCAUCAUUAAAUAGCAAUUAUGGAAAUAAUUACCAAAUGCAUGGAGGUCAUUGUAGUAGAUACCACUAUUAGGGAAAUUAUGGUAAUAGGAAAUGCUAAAGCCAUAACACCAGGAAGCCAACUAGGGGAAAGACUGGAUCCUGUGCUCCUCCCCCAACCCUACUUUCUGUUCGGUCCCCUGCAACUAUCUUGAAUGUUCUUCUCAGAAAUAGGAAGGCUUAUGUGAACUGAUGCAAAGUGAAGUGAGCAGAACCAGAACACUAUACCUACUAAUGAGAAUUAGGGACAUGGCAGAUAUGAACAAUGUGUUUGAACUAUCAGUUGUAUGUCAUGAAUACUUUCUUCAAGGAAACAAUCAGAAUGUACUGGUCCUACUCAUCACUGAUAUUCUUUGUCUUCUCUCCACCCAUAGGCAAGAUGAAACAUUGAAUAGACCAUGA